UCCUCCUUACAGAGGCAGUUUUGUCCGAGUUCCCGACAUUACUCGCUGGCAACAGACAAUGAGGGUUGCGCUCGUUGCGGGACUUAACCCAACAUUUCACGACACGAGCUGACGACAGCCAUGCAGCACCUGUGCAUGCUCCCCUUGCGGGGUCGUUCCUCUUUCAAGGUUCUACCACAUGCAUGUCAAGGCCAGGUAAGGUUCUUCGCGUUGCAUCGAAUUAAGCCACAUGCUCCGCCGCUUGUGCGGGUCCCCGUCAAUUCCUUUGAGUUUUAGCCUUGCGGCCGUAGUCCCCAGGCGGGGCACUUAUCGCGUUUGCUUCGGCACCGGGGGGGUCGAUACCCCCGACACCUAGUGCCCAUCGUUUACGGCGUGGACUAC
rnacentral:misc_RNA from 1 species